GUAUGAUUAGUAAUGCAUAAAAUCAAAUUGGAAAGCUACAGAAAAGAUUAGCAUGGCCUCUGCGCAUAUUCAAGGAGUAUUUAAUGUGUUC
rnacentral:snRNA from 1 species